UUCUGAGCACCAACACUGCUGGUCUCCUGAGAGCAGAAGUGGCAUUAGGAGACACACAUCUGGAAGCAGAAUACCACGUUAUGUCCUGAUACAGCUGCCCUCAAACUUCCUGCUCGAACCAACCUGAGGCGAGCAGAAAUCUUCCACAUAGCAAUCAUUGCCACUAAAUACACACCCUUGUGAAAACUGGCUUGUGAAAAAGCACAGCAUGGUGGGUACGGUCGGAUGGCAGAGCUACAACAACAGUUUGGGUGCUUGGGGCUGUUCCCACCACCCCAACAGCAACAUCAUCCUCUCCCUUCCAUGCUGCUAAUUGGAAAGGACCCUGGAGCUUGAGGCCCUGGCACAGCAAUAGGCCGAGCUGUCAAAGAGCAUAGCACAUUUCCUGGAGUUGACUCAAUCCAUUUCUGAAACAUCACCGCUCGCCAGUCUCUGUUUUGAGCCUUGAAAAAUUCCUCCUAAGAUCCAGCAGUGUCUGAAACACUGGAUUCCUUUUGAAUGAAGCUCACCUCAAAGACACACUACAGCUGAUAGCGGCUCUUGUUUUAUAUGGGACCAGAGCAGAGCUAGGCCAAAAUAUCUCCUAAUGAAAUGUAUGCAGUGUGGACGCCAUGUGCUCAAGACCAGCUGCCUGGCUACCGUGACCACCCCUCUGGAUGAUGCAGAAAUGAAACAUUUCUUCUUGUUUUUCCACAGUUUUUCAUAGAGGACUCUCCAUAUGUCUGGAGAGCAUUCAAGGAGAAGGGACCUAAUGUGAUCUGAGCAUGAAAGGCAAGAACUAGUUAGGACUUGCUGUGUUACAGGAUCCUGGUCUUUAUUCCUCACGAAUCAAUCUUGCAAAGAGAGAGAGAUGCCAACAGGAAAAGAAAUGCGCUAUUAAUGCUGCAGUCCAACCAAGAUCCAGCAAGGCAGGUAUUAAGAAAGGGAAGAAAAAAAACCCAACACCCAAGCAAUCUGACACUUCCACCUGUAAAUAAUUACUCAUCCAAACCCCAGCGAUAAGCCCAUGACACUCCGUGCCGAUUAGGACCCCGAUGGAGAAGAAAGCCCUCCUUGGUUUCCCUCUUCUUGUCAAAGGCCGCAUUGUUCCCAAAGAGUUAACGCCAAAGCAGGUCUGCAAUUACCUGGGAAUAAUGGGGUGUGAUUGGGGCACUAAAGAGCUGGAAUUGAUUUUCAGGCUUUCAGCCCUAGAAGCUGAGGCUGGGCCCCUCCCUGACUUCCUGGUAACUCAUGACCAGCAGGGUCAAUAGAGCAGAAAUCCUUCUAAAGGGCCAAUCUGUAUUUGAAUUAUUUAAACAAUGUAAUACAGCCAAGUUAAAUGGGGCUUAUCAAAUGCUACACCUCUUAAAGCACAAUUGGAGGCAGAAGGAUAUUGACUGCUGAACUCCACGCUGGCCGGGGAGGGAGGGGAGAGAGAAGGCGUGAAA